UCCGAGUUGACCCCGGCAGUCUCCCAUGAGUCCCCGGCAUAACCCGCUGGCAACAUGGAACGAGGGUUGCGCUCGUUGCGGGACUUAACCCAACAUCUCACGACACGAGCUGACGACAGCCAUGCAGCACCUGUGUUACGGCUCCCUUUCGGGCACACCUCCAUCUCUGGAGGCUUCCGUACAUGUCAAGGGUAGGUAAGGUUCUUCGCGUUGCAUCGAAUUAAUCCGCAUGCUCCGCCGCUUGUGCGGGCCCCCGUCAAUUCCUUUGAGUUUCAAUCUUGCGAUCGUACUUCCCAGGUGGGAUACUUAAUGCUUUCGCUCAGACACUUGCAGUGUAUCGCAAAUGUCGAGUAUCCAUAGUUUAGGGCGUGGACUAC
rnacentral:misc_RNA from 1 species